rnacentral:pre_miRNA from 12 species
GUUUAUCUCAGAGGAGUGAGCUUAAGAACACAAGCUGCAUUGGUUUGAAUUGUUAUAUCAUAUACUAGAAUCUAGUAUAUCUUUAUGUUACUAAUUUAUCUUGUGUUCUCAGGUCACCCCUUUGAGGUAACC